UUUCUUCAGUGGGCUCAUUUGUGAUGAAGAAUUAUUCCUCCUGCAUUAUGAAAUCAAGAAUCAGGAAGACCAUCAUUUCUUUAUUUCUCCAUAUGAGCUGGAAUUAGAAGUGAAAGUUCUCAGAAGGAAGGAAGCAAGCCCUGAAAGACGUUAGUAACACGCCUUAUGAGAAACACACACAUAAAUUGAUUUCUCAGGGGAAAACCAGUUCACCAUCCACACUGCUACAGCCCUGCUCAAAUUUCUACUCUCCUUCAGCCUUGUAAGAGAAUAAGGUAAGAAUAACUCCCCACCAAACUGAUGACCAGGGACCACACAGACUGUUUCCUCAAGAUAACCCAUUUUGAGAGAGAAGGGAAAACAGCAGGACUGGUGGUUACUGAGGCCUCAUUCCCCCAUACCUUAUCCCCACCAUCCAGUGCAAUCUGCCACCCUUCCAUAUCUUGUAGAAUGGUAACUAUCAACAGCUCUAAGAAAUAGCUUGCCAUUCCCAGCCAUUUCCUGCUUACCUUCCAAAUUCCUCUAAUAGACCAGAACAUGCCGUUCUGCCAGUUCUGUCAGCCAAUAUCCAACAACCCAUCCCCUGUGCCCCUUCCUUCCCUCUUGGGUGCAAAGCUGCUUAAAUACCACAUUCCUAUCAAUUUCAGCAGCUCAUUGAUGGAAAAGUAAUGUGUGGAUUUGCCUUGAAUCUAAAAGAAAAUAAAAGAAGAAAAUAAAAGUUGAUAUGUUCUUCCCUGAGUAGCUUUCCUAAUACUACGUUGCUCAGACAAGUACAGUUCUCAGUUUAUUCUGCUUAUCAGCCAGCUUUAACAAUGUCUGCCUUGGUCCUCAAUGUAGAGGCAAAGAUUGUAAAGCAUUUAAGAAUGUGAAUCAUUACAUUGUUUUGCAUAUUUUUUGCAUAUUUUUGUAUUUGUGCAUGGCUCCAGAUUCAGAAGAUAGUGUAGCAGCAUUAUUCCUACUUUAUUGUAAAAAUAAACAAACACCAUAGUCACAUUUUUUUAAAGUUGAAAGUCGGGAAUAUAUAUGUGUUAUGUGGUUGUUUAGAAGUCUCUUUAAUAAGUCAUGUUCAUAAGUCAUGUUCAUGAAUAAGAUAACACCAAAGAAAUAUCAAAUUCUCUGUAGUAAUGUUAUUGAUCAAAAUAUCUGAUAUUUAUUUAUUUCCAUUUCUAUACCCCUGUAUCCAAAGCUCUCUGGGCAGUUUACAAUUGAAUUCAUCAGCUGCAAUGCUUGUACACAAUUAAUGCAGGAGAGUUUCCAGAAGUUUUUCUCUUCCACAGUGUUCUUUGUUCUAUGUUCUCAUGCUACAAUCUUGUAUGUUUGUACACAGGAGCAUAUUCCACUGAGUUCAGUGGGACAUUCACCCAGGAUUUAUUCUCAUCUAUUUAUACAGAUAAGAACAAUAUGGAAAAAAUUUUAGGAUUUGCUCACCUAAGUAGACUCACUAUAUUAUCUUCCAUAUUAUAUGUUGUUUCUUUGAAUGAGCAAGGAAAUGAUGGAACAGGAGCUGAAAAUUUCUCCUGUGUCCUUCACUCCUACACUUUUAAGGAUCCUUCUAUGAAUUGUACUUGGAUGGUUGGUAAAAAGGCUCCACCAGAUACUCAGUAUUUUCUAUAUUUUCAGUACUUUGGAUCAUGGACUUUACCAAAAGGAGAAGAAAGAACCUGUCCACACUACUUAAAAAAUGAACAUGGAAUACAAGUUGGAUGCUAUUUUCCAAAUGUGACUAUCGAUACAUAUACAUUUCGCUUCAGAGUGAAUGGGUCAAGUGAGAGUUCAUCAGUUCAACCUUUUACUUAUGAUGCUUUCUUAUAUAAUUAUGAGCGUCUUGAUCCACCACAUGAUAUUACGGUGAAUUGCCCUGAACAGGCUUUGUUCUGUACAGUACAAUGGAAACCCCCUCCGAAUAUCCGUAACGUUUCUUACGCAUGCUACAACUACCAAAUAAAGGAUGAAAUCACAAACACCAUUAUGAAUGUAGCUGAUGGCAUCACCUCCAGAAACUUCACUCAGGGUACAAAAUACAUCUUGAAAUUGCGUACAGGUGGAAACGAUGACUGUGUCAUUACAGGAAAGUUUGGUGAAUGGAGUAAACAAAUUGAGUUUGGUACCAGCCCCAAUCAAUUCCCUGUAAUACACUUAGUUCUUGUGGCACUUGGAACCAUCUUAAUAAUUUUGCUCCUGGUUUUGAUCUGUAAAAGAUCUCAUCUAUGGCAAAACCUAACAGAGCCAGUUCCACAACCAAAAAACAUUACUUGGCAGUUGGAGAAGAAUAUGGAGAAAGUGUGGGUGGACCAGAUGCUACCAGCAGAUGAAAAUAUAACAGUGGUUGAAGAAAUGUCUACUAGCUGAAAAACUGUGUGAGACAUUUGCCUUAAUCACCAGCUUAUUAAAGUAGAAAAAUACUGUUGUUUUUGCCUGACUCCAUACAGAUGACUUUAUUUUACAGGAGUAUAGCACUGUUUCUUUUAAAUGUGCUGUUCUUACAUGAUAUAUUAUCAACUGCUGUUAAUGUAUGCCAGUUCCUUUCAUGUAUGAGUAGGUCUCAGGGUGAUGGUCCUCAGCUCCCAUUCCUUUGACGGAUGCUGCUUCUCCUAGCCUAUACCUGCCUCUCCUAUUGGAGAAACAGGAAAUGAGUGAGAAGGAAGGAUCAAGGAAAGUAAGGAUCAAGAAAAAUGACAUUAUAAGCCAAUUUGGACCUGGCUUAUUCCUAAAGCAGAGACCCACAACAUGAAGUAUGCCCAAUGAAAAGGAGUGCGCACAUACUUUUUGAUUUCCAGGGCAGUUCUAGAUCCUGCUUACUGGAUUAGGAACAGAAAAUGCAAAGAACCUGAUGCUUCAGAGACUGGAACCAGAAUGAGCCGAACAAAGAGAACAGAAGGAUGGCUCUUGACAGUCUUGGAUUAAAACAACUGGAGGCUCUGGGCUAGGAGACCUUGGGAGGCCCAAACUUAAUCGCAUCUGAUAACAAGAAACAAAACCUCAUUUUCAUCUUUAUCGACUCCAUGAAAGCAGAACAUUGCUGAAAUUGUAGCGCUGAUAAAAAGAUUGUCCAUAAACGUAUAACCUUUAAUAAGUUUACAAAAGUAUGGAAUUAAUGAAGAUGUUUACCCAGAACAUUCAUAAGGGAAUCAUAGGCAUGUUAUAACAUUACACUAUAUACACAGUCA